GUGCUCGCUUCGGCAGCACAUAUACUAAAAUUGGAACGAUACAGAGAAGAUUAGCAUGGCCCCUGAAUAAAAAGAAAAAAGAAAAUGAUGUAAAUAUCAUAAGCUUUU